rnacentral:rRNA from 1 species
CAUCUAGGCGGGAUGUUAAGUCAGGUGUGAAAUUCCACGGCUCAACCGUGGACCUGCAUUUGAUACUGGCAUUCUUGAGUUCGGUAGAGGAAGGCGGAAUUCCCGGUGUAGCGGUGAAAUGCGUAGAUAUCGGGAAGAACACCGGUGGCGAAGGCGGCCUUCUGGACCUGGACUGACGCUGACAUGCGAAAGUGUGGGGGAUCAAACGG